UCUUGAAACACGGACCAAGGAGUGCAACAUGCGCGCGAGUCUCCGGGUGGCAAACCCGUGGGCGCAAUGAAGGUGAAGGCGGCGCCUCGGCCCGCUGUGGCGAGAGCCCUUCCCUGUGGGAGGGCGCAUCGUCGACCGUUCCCGAGUCACGCUGUGGCGGGAUAUGAGUGAGAGCGUGCCCGUUGCGACCCGAAAGAUGGUGAACUAUGCCUGAAUAGGGCGAAGCCAGAAGAAAUUCUGGUGGAAGCUCGCAGCGAUUCUGACGUGCAAAUCGAUCGUCAAAUUUGGGUAUAGGGGCGAAAGACUAAUCGAACCAUCUAGUAGCUGGUUCCCUCCGAAGUUUCCCUCAGGAUAGCUGGAGCCCGGUGCAGUUUUAUCAGGUAAAGCGAAUGAUUAGAGGUCUUGGGGCUGAAACAGCCUCAACCUAUUCUCAAACUUUAAAUGGGUAAGAAGCCCGGCUUGCUCGGUUGAAGUCGGGCGCAGAAUGCCGGGGCUCCCAGUGGGCCAUUUUUGGUAAGCAGAACUGGCGAUGUGGGAUGAACCAAAUGCCGGGUUAAGGUGCCGGAAUCGACGCUCAUCAGAUCCCAUGAAAGGUGUUGGUUGAUACUGACAGCAGGACGGUGGCCAUGGAAGUCGGAAUCCGCUAAGGAGUGUGUAACAACUCACCUGCCG
rnacentral:rRNA from 1 species